CUGUGCACUUGCUAAGUGUUACUAAAGACAUCCUCAAUGCUAUGGAAGACUGCAUACAAAGGUUCUGCCCAAUCUGUGAGAAAAGUGAGCGUGAUCAUCUUCCCGUCACAGCAACUGGAAAUAUUUAUGACAGUAUGAAAAAGAAAAGAAAGGGCUUUGUGCCCCUGACCCCAGUAUUCUCGGAAUUAAAAAGCAAGUUGUUCAUUUUGUACAAAUCUGUGUGCCUGUGAGCAGUAUCACUGAUGUGUUUAUUGGUAAACUUUCAUGCUAUUAAUUUUUUUUAACACUUUAGGUCUUACAAGACAUUCUUCCAAGAAGCAAGAUAAUUUGGUUUUGGAAAAGAAAAAGAGUCGGCCAUUUUUCAGGUUUUCUUCAAUUUACUCAUCCACAAUACACAGUGCUGAACAAUCCUGUUCCAGCAUCUCCUUCAGUUCUGACAAUUGUUUGGAUUCCAGUGGAACUCUGGUUUGUUUUUUUUUAAUUGAAAUUGAACUAGAGGCAUCAGUCUAUCAAACAAUCAUAGGAAUGGUCACCAAAUUUAAGGGUAGCAUGAGGCUCAUCAAUACAGGGAGAAGCAAAGACAAGAAUGCCUAGGGAAAAGACACUUGGUUCA
rnacentral:lncRNA from 1 species